GCGUUCGUAGCUCAGCAGGAUAGAGCGUCCCCCUCCUAAGGGGAAGGCCCCCGGUUCGAAUCCGGGUGAGCGUA
rnacentral:tRNA from 1 species